GGGUUCUCUAUGUUGGAAAGGGCUGAUUUUGGCACCAUUAACAAGAACAAGGUCCUACAAUUUCGUGGAUCAGCCGCACGCUACUCUUUAUUAUUCUCAGAGAACAAUGAAAGGUGGCUUUUUGUUGGGGAAGCCUCAGGUGUAUCAGAAACUGCACAAGGGUAGAUGAGGAAGCUAUGGACCUAAACAAGGAACUUAUAAACAAAUUACUUGAGCUUGAUGAUGCUGAUGCUGUUUAUACAGGUCAUAAAUAAUCAGUUUUAUAUCCGUGAAAGCUGUUCCGCAGCAGGUGAAAGUUUGUGAUUCAAAGGUAGUGAUGCUGCCUAUCAUUCACAAGUAAUUAUCAUGGGAGACCUAUAAACUUAUAACAUAAUAAUCUCACAUCGUGCUUACUUUCAUGGUUUGAUUUUUAGAAUAAUCUUACAAUAUUCAUUUGUUAACAACUGUUGUAUCUGUGAGCGGGACACUAUUAGGAUUUCAUUAUUAGAAAUUCAUAAAACAGGGGUAAAGUUAUAAGGAACUUUAUUCAUAUUUUUAGGGCUGUUUUAGAAAUAUAUUGGUAUGUUGUGCAAUUAGUUGGAGAUGAUCUCUUGAUGUCUAAUGCAACGUUGAGAGUGCAGUGCAAGAAUAUGCGUGUAAUGCUCUUUUUCUUAAGGUAAGUAAUUAUAAUUUAAAUGGACUUUGAAGGGGUUCCUUUGUUUAGUUCAAAAUUAUUCUCACUUUUUCUUCAUAUAAUUAAUCCUAUUUUGUUAAUAGAGGUAUUUGAAUAUCCAAUGUUUGAAAAAAGUUUUUUUUUGCGCAAAUACAUUAUAAAAUAGAGUUUACAAGUUUUUUACCCAUAUUAAACAACUCAUGCAUGAGCUAUUUUUGAUAAAUGUAUUUGUCAAACAUUUAUCUUUUUACUUUUCCUAGAAGAUAUGCAUAAAUUUAAUUUAUUUGUUAUGGUAAUUAUAAAUACAGAAUAAAAUCCAAAAACAACCAAUUAAGCAGAAUCCAGAAACUACUCUUUACUGUGAUAUACACCAUAAAGCUAUAGGAAGAAGUGAAAAACCCAAUGCUCAUGAAAGCAAUGAACAAACCAUUGCGGCUGCAAUGCUUUUCUCCAUUCAAACUUCAAUUUCGUGGUAAUGACUACUACCUCUGUUGAUAAGUUUAUUUUUUAAUUGAUUUUUUGUUAUUUUUUAAUUAAAAAUUCUGAGACAGAAGUACAAGUAUGAAUUUUAUUGAGAAAAUCAGACAGGUAGUAUGAUUUUUUGUAAAAUAAUUAUUUUGUCUUCAUAUAUUAAUAUGUUAUGACUUUGUUCAAGUUAAUUUUAUUGACAAAAAAAUUAUACUUUAUUUGCAAAUUGGUUUCUUGAAACUUAGCUUAUUACUCUUUAAAGCUUUUGCAUCUACCGUAGAGUAUUAAUAUUUUUUUUUUCAGUAUCUAUUAAAGUGUAUGCAAUUCUCCCUGAAGCUUUUCCUGGAUUUUGACAUUCUUUUAAGUCUAACGCAUUUCUUUCUAUUAAAAUGUCAAUUGCUGACAUUUUUCUAUCAUUCAAUAAACUUGAAAAAUAUACUUUUAUAUAUGUCAAAAGUUUUCUCUUCUUUUCUAAACAAAAGGUGCUCUCUUCAUUUGUGUGAUAGUAAUGUGUCUUUGUGAGGAAAUUCUAGCUCACAUAUGCUUUUUCUUUCUUUGAAUGCAUGAUAGUAAUGGUUUGAAUGCUUACAUAUGCUUUUUACUUUUCUUUUUUUCUUUACUUCUAUGGUGAGCUUUGUUAUUAUUUAUAUAUGUUGAUUUAUUUUUUAUUUUGUAAAUUUUUCUUUCAUAAAAGUUGCUUUGUUUAUUUAUUGACACCCUUCUCCAAUAAAAAUACUCCUAUUAGUACCUAUUCACUAUUGCAUAAAGUUGACCUUAAUGUUUUAUUCAUUUGUUUGCUAGCUAUUUUCACUAGCUACAUUUCUAUGCUAGGGACCAAGAAUUGAGUAUUUUGAAAUUUUAUCUAUUUGCAAUUGUUUUAAUGCAAUUUUGUACUGAUUUGGUAAAAAAAAUACUUAGAUUUUGGAGGUUAUCUAUUUUCGUUUCAAAAUUGAGAAGUUAGUUUUUUCUUUUUAUUUUGAACUUAUUAUUCAUCCUCCAUGAUAUACACCAAAUAUUAAAAGACAGAAAAUAAAAGUAUUUUUAUGAAUGAGGAGAUAAAAAUAGAAGAGAUCUUUAAGAAUGUUCAUCAUAACAAAAGAACUUGGGAGAGAUUUAAAUUUAAAAAGAAAUGGACAUGAAGCAUGUUUGUUCGCAAGGGGUGGGUGAGUGGUGAAUAGAAGAUGAUUUUGAGGCUGUGCAGGAUCUUAAUGUAAUGGUCGAGUGGUUACUGUAUAUGUAGUUUGUUUA